GCCGCCUCCUAAAGAGUAACGGAGGCGCGCGAUGGUAAGCUCAAGCCGGUCGGACAUCGGCUGUUGAGUGCAAUGGCAUAAGCUUGCCUGACUGUGAGGUCGACGGACCGAGCAGAGACGAAAGUCGGUCAUAGUGAUCCGGUGGUCCCGAGUGGAAGGGCCAUCGCUCAACGGAUAAAAGGUACUCCGGGGAUAACAGGCUGAUGAUGCCCAAGAGUCCAUAUCGACGGCAUCGUUUGGCACCUCGAUGUCGGCUCAUCUCAUCCUGGGGCUGAAGCCGGUCCCAAGGGUAUGGCUGUUCGCCAUUUAAAGUGGUACGCGAGCUGGGUUUAGAACGUCGUGAGACAGUUCGGUCCCUAUCUGCCGUGGGCGCAGGAGAUUUGAGAAGAGUUGCUCCUAGUACGAGAGGACCGGAGUGAACGAACCUCUGGUGUUCGGGUUGUGUCGCCAGACGCAUUGCCCGGUAGCUAUGUUCGGACAGGAUAACCGCUGAAAGCAUCUAAGCGGGAAGCCCCCUUCGAGACGAGAUCUCCCUUAGGACUUGAUCCUACUGAAGUGCCGUUGAAGACGACGACGUUGAUAGGUUGGGUGUGUAAGCGCUGUGAGGCGUUGAGCUAACCAAUACUAAUUGCACGUGAGGCUUGA
rnacentral:rRNA from 15 species